UUUUUAUUUAUUUAUUUAGUCUUUUUAGGGUUACACCCUAAGCAGGUGGAAUUUCCCAGGUUAGGGGUCCAAUCGGAGCUGUAGCUACUAGCCUACCCCACAUCGGGAUGCGAGCCAUACCUGCGACCUACUCCACAGCUUACGGCAAUGCUGGAUCCUUAACCCACUGAGCAAGGCCGGGGAUUGAACCCAUGUCCUCACGGAUACUAGUUGGGUUCAUUACCACUGAGCCACAAUGGGAACUCCAGCAAAUUUUAAAUACUAUGAACAAUAAAGAAUAUGAUGAAGUUAUUUAGUUAGUGUAAGACAGUUCAUUAUUACUUUAAUUUUUAAUUUUUUAAAUUUUAAUAAAAAGUAUGAUAGAUUUUAAAUGAAAUAAUAUAUGGUCCCCUAGUUCAGUCUUUAGAUGUGCAGCAAUUCUGUUUUAAUCCUCCUCUGGAGUUUCCACUGUGGUGCAGUGGGUUAAAGAUCCAACUGCAGUGGCUCAAGUCACUAUGGAGGUAAGGUUGAUCCCUGGCCCAGAGCUGUGGGUUAAAGGAUCCAGCAUUGCCGCAGCUGUAGCUUGGAUUCAGUUGUUGGGCCAGGAACUUCCAUAUGCCACAGGUGCGGCCAUUAAAGAAAAAAGAAGAAAAGUCAUAAUCCUCUUUCUUGAUGGAUCUCUGAGUCUGCAGCUUUCUCAGUUCAGUUUAUCCAGAUAAUAACACUCUGGUUUCCUCUGGGAUGGGGAAAGCAUGUUUACCUAACUACCCUGGGUACCAGGAGGAACCCGGUCACCUAGUUGUUCUGUAUGCAAAAUAAAAACUUUCAACCAAAGCUUUGCUGACAGCCUUGUACCUCUCAGAUACCGCUGAGUGUCCAGCCCGAGGGCGGGCACUUCUCUGCUCCUAAGUCAGUUGCUGCUCUUGGUUUGCUUUUUGUCUUUCAAAAUCCAUUGAACUCUCUCCAAGACUGCUCAUGUCUCUCCUCUGAUGUCCUUGUUUUGGCAGAGGUCUGGAGGAAAGAUAAGAUAAAUGGAUAGAGUCAGCCUCCCAUAUCCUUUUGCUUUAAAGUGAGUGGCUAAUACUCCUAAAUUAUGAAAAGCCUCUACCACCUUCCCUGUUUCUUGAAUCAUCUUGCUUGUUGCUGCUGAAUUUUGUGAUGAAAUUUUAAUUAGAAAAAUAGAAUGACUAUCAAUAAUUGGCAUUUGUGACUGCUGUUCUUUCUUCGCUCCAAAGGCCAGUACCUGGUCAAUCAUUGUCAGCUUGGUUUUUUUUCAUGCCACAUGGACCAGGAAUGGAAAUUAAUGCCAUUGAUUCUAUUUUAAAUCACUUCUGACUGGUCCUGGUUGCUUAUUAAUAAAGGGUGAAAGUUUGGGCUUUUUUCCCCCCACUUUUAAUGCAGUAUUUUCAUUUCAAGCUGGAUGCUGAAUUCCUGCUUAAAACUUUAAAAUUCAUGUCCACACUGUGUAGUCUGAACCACAUCAGUGCAUUUUACUAUAAAAACAGAAAACACAUAGCUGUUUAAACCAAUGGGCCAUCCUCAAUGACUUCUUUGAGAGCCACAAGGGGCCAUGUUCUUCCAUCUUCCAAACCAUCUUCAUCUUUGGUGUAUGUCUAAGCAGUGCUAUUUUGUUGCACUUUCCAACAUGCUUGUAGAAAAUCUUUGCCACGUAAUGUAAAAAAUGUCUACGUGUGUCACACAUCACCUUGGGAGCUCACUGUGUUCACCAAAUAUCAGUCAGUUGAAGAACAAGAUGGACAUUAGUCAGUGUUGCUUUGGGAAAUUAAAGAAAUGUUCUCAUGGAGGGAUGUUUGAGGAAGUGAUACCUGGAUGGAGAAGUCAUUGCAAAUAGUAACAAGAGUAGGGAAGGGGGAAGAAAUCCUGUAGGCCAAGAAUUACAGUCUCUCAAAAAGGAGAAGUGACAUGGAAGCUGAGAGAGGCUAGCAUAUGGCCCGUGAGAGUUGUUUGGCCAGAAACCAAGGGCCUCAGAAGAACUAUGUUUAUAUGGAUUUGAGAAAAUUAUGUUUUGGUUAGAGAAAAUUAAAAAUCGAGGCACCUAUUGAAUAUUUGUUGAAUUGAACUUACUAGAAGAUAAAGUCGUUGUGGUUUACAUCUGUUAAGCAUAAUGCAGACCGUGUAAUUAAAGAACACUGGAUUAGGAGUCAGAGGGUUUGAGUUUUUAUCUCUGCUGCCUAAAUCCUCCCAGGUGAGAAAGCGAAUUGAUAAUGCAUAAGGGAGUACUAAUGAAAAAGUCUGCAAAAGCAGAAGGUCAUGUCUAAUUCAAACUGCCAUGGAUGAAGAGGAAAGCAGUCUCCUGCAAUUUCUUUCUCCCCAUUCUAUGCAAGAAUAGAAAAAAUGUAAUGAACUUCAUUGUGGUUUAAUGUACAUGUAACAAAAGGCUCUUAUUUUAAGUGUAUCAUUUGGUGAGGUAUGACAUAUAUCUAUAUAUAUCCAUGAAAUAAUCUCAUUGAUAAAGAUACAGAAUAUGUCCAUUCCCUUACAAAUCUCCCUCGUGUCCCUCUUCCAUCCACCUUGGGAAACCACUGAUCUGCUUUUUGUCACUAUAGAUAUUUCCUGCCUACAAUUCAUAAACAUGGAAUCACAUAACUCAGAUGUUCUCUUUUAUGGAUGGCUUCUUUUACUCAGCAUAAUGUUUUCUAGGUUCAUCUAUGAGAUGAUCCUCAGUUUCCCGAUUUUAUUGUUGGCAUUGAGGUUGUUUUCAGUUUGGAGCUAAUAUAAAUAUUUGUGUAUGUCUUUCUGUAGAUAUGUUAUUAAUUCUCUUGGAAAAAUACCUAGGAGGGAUNUUUUUUUUUUUUUUCUUUUCUUUUCACCCACCCCUUGGCAUAAGGAGUUCCUGGGCCAGGGAUCAGAUCCAAGCCAGAGGUGCAACCUAUGCCACUGGGUCCUUUAACCCGCUGUGCCAGGCUGGGGAUCGAACCUGUGUCCUGGCACUGCAAAGCCACUGAUGAUCCUCUUGGGCCACAGUGGGAACUCCUGCAGGGUCUUAUGAUAAGCGUAUGUUGAACAUUGUUAGAAAUUUCAAACAGUUUUCCAGUGACUGUACUGUUUUUUAUUCCCACUAACAAUGUAUGAAAGUUCUAGUUUUCUCAUCUUGUUGGCAACACUUGGUAUUGUCAAUCUUUUCAGCUUUAGCUGUUCCAAUUGGUAUGUAGUGGUAUUUCACUGUGAUUUUAAUCUGUGUUAGUCAUUGAAGAAAUGAUUUGAGUGUCAUUCAUGUGCUUAUUGGCCAUUCAUAUAUCUUCUUUGGUGAAGUGUCUUUUCAAGUCUGCCCAUUUUUAUUGCCUCAUUUAUCAUAUUAUUGAGUUGUAUGAGUUCUUCAAACACUCUGAUACAAGAUCUAUGUUAGAUAUAUGCAUGGUGAAUAUUUUUCUCCCAGUAUGUGGCUUGACUUCUCUCUUUUUUGUUUUUGUCCUUUCAGAGCCGCACCCGCGGCAUAUGGAAGUUCCCAGGCUAGAGAUUGAAUUGGAGCUACAGCUGCUGGCCUAUGCCAUGGCCACAGCAGUGCCAGAUCCGAGCUGCAUCUGUGACCUACAUCACAGCUCACCGCAACGCCGGAUCCUUAACCCACUGAGAGGCCAGAGAUCGAACCUCUAUCCUCAUGGAUACUAGUUGGGUUUGUUACUGCUGAGCCAUGAUGGGAACUCCUAGCUUGACUUUCCAAUUCCUUAGUGCUUUCUUUUGAAGAAGAAAGGUUUUAUUUUUGGAAAAAUCCAAUUACCAAUUUAUUCUUUUACAGUUGUUGCUUUUCAUGGCCUACCCAAACAAUCUUUGCCUUUUCCUGGGUUUUCUUCUAGAAUGGUGCUGUCAAACAGAAAUAUUAUGUAAGCCACACAUGUAACAUUAAGUUUUCUAGUAGCCACAGUAGAAAAGUAAAAAACAGCUGGAGUGAACUUAAAUCGUAUAUCCAAUUGGAAUCAAUAUAUCCAAAAUACUAAUAUUUCAAUAUAGUACAAUCAACAUUAUAUAUUCCAUCAACAAUAUAAAAAUUAUUGAUGAAAUGUUUUACAUUCUUUUUUAUCCAAAGUCUUUGAAAGCCGGAGUAUAGUUUAUCCUUAUAGCACAUUUCAAUUUGGACUAGCCGCAUUUCAAGUGCCCAAUAGUAUGGCUAGUGACCAUACUGGACAGGAGAGUUCUAGAAGUUUUAUAGUUCAUACUUUUUUUUUAAGGUCUGUAAUUUAAUUUUUGUGUAGGAUGUUAAGUAUCAGAAUUUUUUUUUCUUCAUACAGAUAAUCAUACCAUUUAUCUUUUUUCCAAUGGAAUUAUAUCUUUGCCGAAAAUGAAUAGAUCAUAUGUGUGGAUCAUUUCUGGACUCAAGUUACUGUUCCAUUUAUCCUUAUGCUGGUACCAUCCAGAUUUGUUUAUUGUAGCUUUAGAGUAGGACUUGAAAUUAGGUAGUGCAAGUCUUCCAACUUUGUUCUUCCUUUUCAUUUUUCACUCUUCCAGGUUCUUUUCAUUUCCAGAGAAAGCUUAAAAAUCAUCUUGUCAAUUUCCUCAAAAAAGCUGACUGGGAUUUUGCCUUUUGUAAGUGGGUUGAAACUUGGAUCCUCAAAGGAUAUGUCUGUAUCCUUAUCUCUGAAACCAUCAAUGUUAACCUUAUUAGGAAAAAAAAGAAAUGGGGGGGGUCUUUGCAGAUAUAAUUAAGUUCAAGAGAUGAAGAGAGACCACCCUGAGUUCCUGAGGUGCAUCAUAAAUCCAGUGAUAAGUAUCCUGAUAAGAUAGACACACACAUACGGGAGAAAACACGUGGCACACAGAGAGGAGACGGCGAUGUGAAAAUAGAGGCAGAGAUUGGAGUGAUGUGGCCAGAAGCCAAGGAAGCCAAGGAAUGCCAACAGCCACCGAAAGCUGGAGAAACCAGGAAGGAUUCACCUCUAGAGCCACUAGAGGGAGUGAAGCCUCACUGACACCUUGAUUUCGGACUUCUGGCCUCCAGGACUGUGAGCAAAAUACGUUUCUCGGUUCAGCCACAAAUUUGUGGUAAUGUAUGGUAGCAGUGGUAGGAAACAAAUACAUCUAUUACCAGGUUGAGGAAGUUCCAUUCUUUUCCUAGGUUUUUGUUUCCCCUUCAAGAAUGGGUGUUGGGUUUUGUCAAAAUGCCUUUUCUGCAUCAAUUGAAAAAUAUAUUUUCCUGCUAUUUUGUUAAUAUGGUCAUAAUCUAUAUAGACUCUCUGCUCGAAUAGUAUUAAUUUUAGCAUGAUGGUAGCUGUUACUCCAGUAACACCUUUUUGUGAAAGUGUUGGGUCCCGACUUUUUUUUUUUUUUUUUUUUUUUUUUUUUCAGUGCCUCACAUGUGGCAUAGGAAGUUCCCAGGCUAGGGGUUGAAUUGGAGCUGCAGCUGCCGGCCUACACCACAGCCACUGCAGCACCAGAUCCAAGCCGCAUAUGCAACCUACGCCACAGCUUGCGGCAAUACCGGAUUCUUAACCCACUGAGCAAGGCCAGGGAUCAAACCUGCAUCCUCACAGACACUAUGUUGGUUUCUUAACCUGCUGAGCCACAAUGGGAACACCCUGACAUGUUUUUAUAAGUUGCAAAUAUGUCAGCAUGGAUCCUCUUGCUUUAUAUUUGCUAAAGGCUUUUAAGAAGUCACUAAAGAGAACAGAGAACAAAACAGUAUCUCAAAAUACUUAGAAGAGAAAAACUGUGAUCAUGAAAUUUAUCCUGAGUGAUUCUCUAAUAACUCUCUUACUGUUAACUCAUUUGUCCAUUUAGCCUUGAGAGAUACUUCAUUUGGCUUCCAUAGUGCUUGCAAAACUAAGGAUUUUUAUAUCAGAACACUAGAUAUCAUGCUUGUCCUGAAAAUUAUACACAACACUUGGCAACACUGCCCUGAGCUGUAUAGCAUCUGCCCCUUACAUGAUGAGUGUUCUUUUCUCUUUACCAUAAUCCUAUUCUUUUUUGUUUUUAAACUCCAUAGAGACUUGAGUUUACAAUUUCUGCUCUAGAACCUUUGUUGGGGCACAUUGCAAUGCCAAGGCAUGUGUCACUGGGGAAGGCCUAGAGAAAAGGUGGCUAUCACAGUUGUCAAGUCAAAUUAUUCAUGUUCAAAGAGAGCUUUGUGGAAAUGACCUGAAGAUAAAAAAGGGUUUUCAUAUAAUUCAUUACCAACAAGAGAGAGAGUCUGAUCGAUUGACUUAUGGGUAGAAAUGGUGCAAAGAAGCACUAAAAAAAUCAAAAUUAAAACCCUAAACCAAGCCAAGAAAAGACAGCAGGAAAAAAACCCCUGAACUCCUCACCUACUGCCCCCCCCCCAAAAGAAAGAAGUACAACCUUAUGAUGUAAAAUAUGAGAACUGAUGGCAGAGAUACCAAAGAAUCUGCUGAUGUGUGGCGUCUAGAACCCUCCACCCUCCCCUGUAAGACAUACUGAGGAAAAAGAUGAUCAGACCAAAUCCUGAGGAUUUUCACAGAUGUCCUCCAGUUGGGAAAGAAUUCAGCAGCAUCCCUGUGAAACAUCAGGAAACCCUUACAUACCACUGUUGGAUCUUGCCCAAAGCAGGAAAGUUUGCCACCUCCUGCAGUACUGGGCUGAACUGGGCAAAUGAAAAUGAAGCUUCUAGGCAUGGAAUAUUCCCUUGGUGGCUUGAAGAUGGGGUGGUGAGGACUUAAAGGAACCCCAGAAAUGACGGCUGACUUCCCCCAGCAAGCUCUCUAUUCAGCCUCAGAGUCCCACAAUCCCCAUCUUCCUAACACCUCAGAUCAUAGAAAACAACACUCAGUCCUAACACUGGAGUUCUGGAUAGGGAAGCCAGACACAUCUCGCAUGAAGAGGAAAGUGCACCCAGAAUUCACUCGCAGUAUAUUAGUGCAAACACAAGUUCUGUUAACUUUUAAGGAUAGCAAGAUAAAAGAUAUGACAAGGCUGUUGCGUAAACACGUUAUAACUUGGGAGAUGCGAGUGGGAGGCAAGGAAAAUAGCACACAGAAGACAGAUGAAGAACCAACUCUGGAAGAAAACAUAACCAAGGAAUAGAAAUUUAUAAUCCUUAUGUGUGUUUCACUCAACAGGAAAAAAAAAAA
rnacentral:lncRNA from 1 species